GAGAGGGAGGGUCGUUGGAGGGCGACGCCAAGGCUCUCAGCUACAGUCACAUCCCCCCCGACUGAGGGCUUCCAGUCUUCCAGUGUGGAGGUUCUGCGUACUGAACCUUCAGCACAACACGAAAUUUUGAAAAGAAUAUGGAGAGACUCUCUGACAUUCUUUCCUCAUGUCCUCC